rnacentral:misc_RNA from 1 species
AGAAAACCCCCUCACAUUCUCCGCUCCCCUAGCCCGCUAGGGUUUCCUCCUCAGUCCAGUCGAUUCCCAGCCGCCGGCGAUGUCGCUGAGGCCGAGCGAGCGCGCGGAUCUCCGCCGCAACAAAUACAAGGUCGCCGUGGACGCCGAUGAAGGCCGCCGCCGGCGGGAGGACAACAUGGUGGAGAUCCGCAAGAACCGGCGGGAGGAGAGCCUAUUGAAGAAACGGCGUGAGGGGAUGCAGUCCCAGAUGAUCCCAUCCUCGAUCCACGCUUCAGGCAUUGAGAAGAAGCUGGAGAGCCUUCCGGCGAUGGUGGCCGGGGUUUAUGCUGAGGAUCACAGCUUGCAGUUGGAGGCGACGACGCAGUUCCGGAAGCUGUUGUCGAUCGAACGGAGUCCACCGAUAGAGGAGGUGAUUCACGCUGGUGUUGUGCCGCGGUUUGUUGAGUUUCUGAUGAGGGAGGAUUUUCCCCAGUUGCAGUUUGAAGCGGCUUGGGCACUCACCAAUAUUGCGUCAGGAACUUCUGAGAACACUCGGGUGGUAAUUGAUCACGGGGCUGUUCCGAUCUUUGUGCAGCUUCUUGGUUCUCUCAGUGAUGAUGUCAGGGAGCAGGCUGUGUGGGCACUUGGCAAUGUGGCAGGUGAUUCUCCAAAAUGCCGAGAUCUGGUCCUUGGUACUGGUGCAUUGAUGCCUCUACUGGCCCAGUUAAAUGAGCAUGCAAAGCUGUCAAUGCUACGGAAUGCCACCUGGACUUUGUCAAAUUUCUGUAGAGGAAAGCCACAACCACCUUUCGAGCAGGUAAAGCCUGCUCUUCCGGCACUUGAGCGCCUCAUUCAUUCAAAUGAUGAGGAAGUUCUAACUGAUGCCUGUUGGGCCCUCUCCUAUCUGUCUGAUGGCACGAAUGACAAAAUUCAAGCAGUGAUUGAGGCGGGUGUGUGCCCUCGGCUCGUGGAACUACUCCUCCACCCUUCACCUUCAGUGCUUAUUCCUGCUCUACGUACUGUUGGAAACAUUGUGACCGGGGAUGACAUACAGACUCAGUAUAUCAUCAAUCACCAAGCCCUCCCCUGCCUGUUGAACCUAUUAACACACAACCAUAAGAAAAGCAUAAAAAAGGAAGCAUGCUGGACCAUUUCAAACAUCACCGCAGGAAAUAAGGACCAGAUACAGGCUGUA